UACGUAGGGUGCGAGCGUUAAUCGGAAUUACUGGGCGUAAAGCGUGCGCAGGCGGUUGUGCAAGACAGAUGUGAAAUCCCCGGGCUCAACCUGGGAAUUGCAUUUGUGACUGCACGGCUAGAGUGUGUCAGAGGGGGGGUAGAAUUCCACGUGUAGCAGUGAAAUGCGUAGAGAUGUGGAGGAAUACCGAUGGCGAAGGCAGCCCCCCUGGGAUAACACUGACGCUCAUGCACGAAAAGCGUGGGGGAGCAAAACAGGG
rnacentral:rRNA from 1 species